rnacentral:rRNA from 1 species
AUUGAACGCUGGCGGCAUGCCUUACACAUGCAAGUCGAACGGUAACGGGCCUUCGGGUGCCGACGAGUGGCGAACGGGUGAGUAAUGUAUCGGAACGUGCCUUUCAGUGGGGGAUAACGUAGCGAAAGUUACGCUAAUACCGCAUAUUCUGUGAGCAGGAAAGCAGGGGAUCGCAAGACCUUGUGCUGAUUGAGCGGCCGAUAUCAGAUUAGCUAGUUGGUGAGGUAAAGGCUCACCAAGGCGACGAUCUGUAGCGGGUCUGAGAGGAUGAUCCGCCACACUGGAACUGAGACACGGUCCAGACUCCUACGGGAGGCAGCAGUGGGGAAUUUUGGACAAUGGGGGCAACCCUGAUCCAGCCAUGCCGCGUGAGUGAAGAAGGCCUUCGGGUUGUAAAGCUCUUUCGGCCGGGAAGAAAUCGUAUCAGCUAAUACCUGGUGCGGAUGACGGUACCGGCAUAAGAAGCACCGGCUAACUACGUGCCAGCCGCCGCGGUAACAC